UUGUGCAUUCAUUUGUCCUGUUAGCUCAAGCUAUCACCCUGUCAACAUGUAUUAUUGCCCAUAACAAUGUGCUGUUGGCCCUUUUGGUGUCCAACAAUUUUGCCGAGAUCAAGAGCAAUGUAUUUAAGCGGAUUAGCAAAGAGAACCUUCACAAUCUGGUCUACUAUGGUAACUGAUCCGGCAAUCGAUAGAACAUCGGCCGAGAUUGCGUGUACACUUGAGAAGAAGUUGAAAGCAGUUGCAUCUACUGCUAAGAAGAGGAAGGGUGCAAGUCAGAAAGACACUGCUUAGAUAUUGUCAUCAAAUUACUGCAUAGUUACUGACAGUGUUACAUAAUGCAAAACUGCUUAGAUACUGUCAUCAAGACAAUGCCUCCAAAACUGCAAAGUUAUGCAUCUGUGCAUGUUAGUACUGUAAUGUGACCACUGUGAAUUGUUAUUAGUACUGUAAUAUGACUUAUACCUUAACUUUGACCAAAUCUGUGCAUGUUAGUACUGUAA